GACAGAAGAACCUUUCAUUCUAUUCCGUGUUUCCUAUAUGUGGACCAGCUUCUUUGCUGUUUUAGCAACUGUCGUCAUUGGUAUGCUCGUCAGCUGCCUUACAGGAGAAAUGAGUAAUAAGGAUACACAGCUACACCUCUGCAAUGAUGGAGCAGUUCGAUUAUGGCGCUAUGCAAGAUUGCUAGAUAGCGAAGAAAAGGCUGAGGAAGGGAAGACUACGAUGCCUAAUGAACUAAAGCAUGACGUCACAACGGAAGAUGAGAACCUCCUUGCAAGGAAAGAUGAGACACGCAUUUGAUGAUUACUGCAAUGAACAUAAACAAGCUGUCUAAAUACAAUAAUAAAUUUAAAACA